rnacentral:rRNA from 1 species
UACAGAGGUCUCAACCGUUGUUCGGAUUCAUUGGGCGUAAAGGGUGCGUAGGCGGUCGCGCAAGUCGGAUGUGAAAUCUCAGGGCUCAACCCUGAAACUGCAUUCGAUACUGCGUGGCUAGAGUGCUGGAGAGGAGACUGGAAUUUACGGUGUAGCAGUGAAAUGCGUAGAUAUCGGGAGGAAUACCGAUGGGCGAAGGCAGGUCUCUGGGCUGACACUGACGCUCAUGCACGAAAGCGUGGGGAGCAAACAGG